UGUUUCUCUUUUAAAAGGUAUCCAGUGUAAGGUGCAGCUGGUGGAGUCUGGGGGAGACCUGGUGAAGCCUGGGGGGUCCCUGAGAUUCUCCUUUGCAGCCUCUGGAUUCACCUUCAAUAACUAGGGCAUGCACUG